UUCCCUCCUCUCCUCGUCAAAGACAGAAAACAUGGAUGCUGCAAAGCUCUCUGCUCUGCCCGAAGACUCUGAAGAAGCCCUAACCCUAAAUCCUGAUGAUUCCUCUUCCUCUCCUAAGCUCCCUCCAAUCUCUGCAUUCGAUGAUCGCCCUGCAACUCGGAGUAUGCCCCAAAAAUAUUCACCUUUGGAGUGGUCAGAUUACUUUGAUAAAGAGGAGGAUGUUGACAUUCCAGACUCACAAAGUGUUUUUCAUGUAUACACUGCAGGAACUCAUGGACCCAUUGUGUUUUGUAUCCAUGGUGGUGGUUAUUCAGGUCUUUCCUUUGCAAUAGCAGCUCGUCAGAUGAAGGAAAAGGCUCAGGUAGUAGCCAUGGACAUGCGAGGACAUGGAAGGUCUUGCACAGACAAUGACAAAGAUAUGUCUAUAGAGACACUAUGCAAUGAUGUUUUGGCUGUUCUGAAGGCACUCUAUGGAGAUUCGGCCCCUGCAAUUAUACUUGUUGGCCACAGCAUGGGUGGAUCAGUUGCUGUGCAUUUAGCAGCAAAGAAAGUGAUCAAAAGCUUGGAAGGAUUGAUUGUAGUUGACGUUGUAGAGGGUACAGCCAUGGCAUCAUUGAUUCAUAUGCAGAAAAUCCUUGCAAGCCGACCGCAAUAUUUUCACAGUAUUGAGAAAGCGAUCGAAUGGAGUGUCAAAGGAGGUUCUUUAAGGAAUGUUGAAUCUGCACGUGUUUCAGUUCGAUCGACAUUAAAAUACGAUGAAUCGAAGAAAUGUUCUAUUACAGUUACACUUUUCGGGCAUGUUUGGAGGAAACAGAAGGAUAUUGGAAGGGCUGGUAUGAAGGCUUAUCGGAGAAGUUCUUGUCAAGCCCAGUUCCAAAACUCCUGCUGCUAGCAGGAACAGAUAGAUUAGACAGAUCCCUUACAAUUGGCCAAAUGCAAGGCAAGUUUCAAAUGGUUGUUGUUCGUCAUACUGGACAUGCUAUACAGGAAGAUGUGUCAGAUGAAUUUGCUGGCCUUGUCCUCAAUUUCAUAUCUCGCAAUCGGAUUGGCCCUCAUGGUGUUCAGUUCUGAUGAAGUAUGCACAACUUCAAGGUGAUUCUUACUUAAACCAAAAAGUAAAGAAGGUUUACAAUAUUGAGUAUCUAGAACACGUUGUGGAAUGUGGUGAUGUUUGAUAUAUCGUAAGUAUCUAGAACACGUAGUGGAAUGUGGUGGUGUUUGAUAUAUUGUAAGUAUCUAGAACACGUUGUGGAAUGUGGUGAUGUUUGAUAUAUUGUAAGUAACUUGAACACGUGGAAUGCAGUGAUGUUUGAUGAAAUGGAUAAAAUGAGAAAUUUCAUAUUCCUGUGGAAGUUUCAUUUGC